CCUACGGGCGUCAGCAGUGGGGAAUAUUGUGCAAUGGGCGAAAGCCUGACGCAGCGACGCCGCGUGAGUGAUGAAGGUCUUCGGAUCGUAAACCUCUGUCAGCAGGGAAGAACGGUCACUGUGCUAUUCAGCAGUGAAUUGACGGUACCUGCAAAGGAAGCACCGGCUAACUCCGUGCCAGCAGCCGCGGUAAUACGGAGGGUGCGAGCGUUAAUCGGAAUUACUGGGCGUAAAGCGCUCGUAGGCGGUAUGUCAAGUCAAGGGUGAAAUCCCCGCGCUUAACGUGGGAACUGCCUUUGAUACUGGCAAACUGGAGUGUGUGAGAGGGUAGUGGAAUUCCAGGUGUAGGAGUGAAAUGCGUAGAUAUCUGGAGGAACAUCAGUGGCGAAGGCGACUAUCUGGCACAUAACUGACGCUGAGGAGCGAAAGCGUGGGUAGCAAACAGGAUUAGAUACCCCAGUAGUC
rnacentral:rRNA from 1 species